rnacentral:rRNA from 1 species
CUGCUGCCUCCCGUAGGAGUCUGGUCCGUGUCUCAGUACCAGUGUGGGGGACCUUCCUCUCAGAACCCCUACGCAUCGUCGGUUAGGUGGGCCGUUACCCCGCCUACUGCCUAAUGCGCCGCAUGCCCAUCCCUGUCCGGCCGAAGCCUUUCCUGCCUCCGGGAUGCCCCGGUUGGCAUGUACGCGGGUUUAGCCCGCCUUUCGGCGGGUUGUCCCCCUGACAGGGGCAGGUUGCAUACGUGUUACUCACCCGUGCGCCGGUCGCCGGCGGAGAAAG